AAAUAAAGAGAUGGAAUUAAGGAAAGGAAUGAAUGUUAAUUUUUUUCAUUGUCAAAAUUGUUUGCUUAUUUUUCUUUCCUUUUUUUCUUAGGUGCCAGAAUUGCCCAAUCUUGUUGUUUUCAGUGAUUUUCUAUUUAGCUUUGAUUUGCCAUUCAAAAUUAAAUUAAUGAAAUGUGACUCAUCUGCAAAACUGAAGUUUGAAGCUAUGGCAUCUCAAGGAAGGAUGAGAACAUUUUUAACACUGGAAGUCAGACGAAGUCACCUGGUUGAAGACACCAUGCGUCAAUUAAGACAAGCUGAAUUCUCUGACCUUAAGAAACCACUAGUGGUAAAGAAAAUUGUCUUGCUGGCCUUUUUUAAUUGUGGGAGGGGACAUUCAUAAUUAAGAAGCUGCGACUUUGGGAGCCCAUUCCAUAUAGAGGAAUACUCCCUGAGCCAAGGCCGAGGCCCUAUCCCAAAGGCUACGACGGACUCUGAUGACACCCUAUGGAAGGCCUC
rnacentral:lncRNA from 1 species